CCACUUCCUGAAUUGGCUGACCUGGGACACUUUAAUUUCUCUCUCUGAGCCUUAGUUUCCUCAGCUCUGAAAGGGGAGGAUUAAGUGAACUAGCACCUCUAAAGCACCCUGCACAGUGCCUGGAAGGAAUCCCCUCUCCCACCUGCUAAGCUGCCUUUAGUGCCUCUCAUUGGCAGAAGCUAACAGGAAGUCAGCUGGCAAGGGAGCUGAAAAAUGUGGCUUGCAGACCCUAGCCCCAGCAUCUCAGAGCAGAUUAUAGAAGGGUGAGCGUAGACCAGAAACCAGAGGUGCCUGGAGGGAUCAGCAAACUGAGAUCAUUGGAGUUCAUACUUAGGGCAUGGUGUUUUCUCGGGAACCUGGGUGACUCAAACCUGGACUAUCAUUCAGGUAAGGACGGCUUUACUUUCAGUUCACCUUUACUUCUGAAAUGCAGUCCUUUGGGGGCUGACUCGCGUGUGGGAGGCAGCUUAUCACCCACACUCUUGGCAGGCCCCAGACUUAGAUAUUUAUCUCCAGGCAUGCAAAGCCACUGAAAGUGAGCUUAGCCUCUCAGCCCUUCUUUUCAAUUGGCAAAAGCUUCCAGGGCAACUGCAGCCUCAAGUAUCUGGGUCACCUCUUGGGAAUCCU
rnacentral:lncRNA from 1 species